rnacentral:rRNA from 1 species
GCUAGCGUUGUUCGGAAUUACUGGGCGUAAAGCGCACGUAGGCGGUUAUUCAAGUCAGAGGUGAAAUCCCGGGGCUCAACCCCGGAACUGCCUUUGAAACUAGAUAGCUAGAAUCUUGGAGAGGCGAGUGGAAUUCCGAGUGUAGAGGUGAAAUUCGUAGAUAUUCGGAAGAACACCAGUGGCGAAGGCGACUCGCUGGACAAGUAUUGACGCUGAGGUGCGAAAGCGUGGGGAGCAAACAGGAUUAGAUACCCCAGUAGUCC